ensembl:snoRNA Small nucleolar RNA SNORA84
GCCUGGUGGUUCCUUGAGACGGCUCUUCAGUGCUGGUCAUUGAGGUUUAUUUAACAGGCAAAUAAUGACAUCUGCGAUUUAAUGCUUGAGAGCUGCUCACGUCUGCGGCUUUCACAGCCCGGUUGCAGAAACAUUU